rnacentral:lncRNA from 1 species
GGCCUCCAUCUUGAAAACGGAAAAUAAAAACAGCAGACCUAUGAAGGUCGAAGGGGAAGAAAAGCUGUAUCGAUUGUUGAGAUCUGGCGACUUGUUUAAAUUUCAUCAGCCUCACUUCUAUGAACUCUCAGAGCUGAUUACCAACUCCUACCACUGUUAACCCUCAUCCAGGAACAAGCUUAUGUCUUUAACAUUCUGAGUGGGCUUCAGCAUCCUUGCAUAUGUUCAAUUCUUAAAAACCUGUUGAAAUAAAAGAUCAGGAGACAUAGGAAGGAUGCCAGAAGAGAGCGUGGCCUCACGUGUACCAGCUCUCUGCUCUCCUUUGCCUUGGGACGUUCCAUCCCUGGAAGUUUCCCUGCCCACAUCUUUGUAGAGAGUCCAUUCUCCAAGCUUCAGUGUGUCAUCUGUGAGGACCGUGACCCACCUGGUACAUCGCCUCAGGGCAUUCAUUUCAGGCUCCUUCUAAAUGGCCAAGUUUUCAAGAUUGUUUUGGCUCUAGCAAAACAAGUUGGAACAUUCACAUCAUCCAACAGAGUCCUGCUCUGUCACCCAGGCUGGAGUGCAGUGGCAUGAUCCUGUCUCAUUGCAACCUCUGCCUCCCGGAUUCAAGCGAUUCUCGUGCGUCAGCCUCCCAAGUAGCUGGGAUUACAGGCGUGAGCCCCUGUGCCCGCCCCCCCCACUUCUGGUAUACCUUUGAAUAACACUUUACAUUUUGUGGGGUGCUUUUCUGUUCCAGUUGCCAGCAUUAAGAAAAUGUGGUCUUGUGAAUAUGAUUGUGAGUUGGAACUUAGUAGACAGAUUUUGGCUCUUCCCUGAUUCUAUCUCUAUGACUUGAGUAACAAUGACCAGUGGCCACAAUCAAGGUUUCAACUCUGUAAAACAGGUGUGAUGUUGCUAAUUUUGUUUGUGUGUGUGGUAAAAAUCAGUAUUAUCUCAGGCUAUUUGCCUUAAGCUUUUUAUAAGAAGAAAGCCAUAAGUAGCAUGCAAGAAGCUACUGGUGAUGAUCAUCUAGGAUGUUUGUUUCUCACUCUCAUGUUCCCUGACUAACAAAGAAAUAAUGAAAUUGUCCUUGAGCCAGAGGAAUGGCUGGAUGGUGGCCAAGGAUUUGGGUUGAAUCCCCAGUCAUGUUUGACAUUUGUGUUAAUCAGUUGGGUUUCUUGUCACCUAGAGUAAUGUUGACUUGGAUAUGUAUUGUUCAGCACAAUGAAACAAGUAAACAUUUUUAAAAUGUUGAACAUUUAGCAAACUGACAGUUAUAGGUCUUCAUAUCCAAAGGCAAUGAAGCAUUGUUAUAUGAUUAAAAAUAAACAUAAUUUGCAUUGACAAUAAAUAAAUAUAUACUUUAA